UCCUAUGCCUGUGCCCAAGUGGGGAAUCUGGAACCAGUAAGCCCGUUCGUGCAUAAAUGUAAUCCUCGGCCGCAGAAUAAACCAGCUCGGAGCCUGCAGCUGGGUUCAUCAAGGUUUGCGCAGUGGAUCCGCGAAUGAAGCCAGCCUGGAAGAUCCCCAGUCUCGAGACAGAGCCUGACAGGGGCAGAUGCACUGGAAGGACCCUGUCUGGGUUUAGCAACCAAGCAGCCAUCCUGGCCCCACAGGUGUGGGACUUCUGGGUCUUCUCCUGGCUGGCUUCUUGCUAGAGGAUUUCAAGAGACCCAGCAAGACUGUAUUGUCCCACUGAAUGCUCAAGAUAUUGGUUAGAAGUAGAAAAGGGGAGGGGGUAGUAUUUAGCCUCUGUCCCCACUAAAAAUUAUUCCCAAUUGUCAUUUGUGUCAUCUGUUUAGCUUACAGUUUUAAUCCUUGUCAAAAUGAUCAUUUGCCAGGGUGCAUAAAACACCCUAUUUGAUGAGAACUGGUUUUAAAGGAAAAUGGGGCCAUCAGAAGGAAGCCGGUUGGUGUGAAGAGACGUCUGGGAAGAGCCCCUGGCGAGGGCCCUCAUUCCACUGGGUGACCCAGAAGGAGAAAACCGCGAUGGCGCUUCUCAUUUGAAAUGUUUUCUUUAUGGACAGUGUUUAGCAAUUGUUAUAAUGUGUACUUUUGUUGAUUGAUCUGUAUACAUAUGUAAAAUAAUUUGUUCUCUGAGUUAAUUUUGUUGGAACAAAGACUUUAGUGCUUCCUACAUUAAAACAUUUUACUGUAUUGCCUGCAUUUUAAGAGCCUUUUUUUAAUUUUUAAUUUUUUUGGUCCUUGUGAUAUGACGAGGUAUAAAUUCUGGGUUUUGUCCAGGGUUCCUGGCUUAGCACUCUCGUCG
rnacentral:lncRNA from 1 species